rnacentral:rRNA from 1 species
GAUGAACGCUAGCGAUAGGCUUAACACAUGCAAGUCGAGGGGCAGCAUGGUCUUAGCUUGCUAAGACUGGUGGCGACCGGCGCACGGGUGCGUAACGCGUAUGCAACUUGCCUCACAGAGGGGGAUAACCCGUCGAAAGACGGACUAAUACCGCGUACACUUGGGAUAGGGCAUCCUGACCCAAGGAAAUGAAAUUCGCUGUGAGAUAGGCAUGCGUCCCAUUAGCUAGUUGGUGAGGUAACGGCUCACCAAGGCGACGAUGGGUAGGGGAACUGAGAGGUUGAACCCCCACACUGGUACUGAGACACGGACCAGACUCCUACGGGAGGCAGCAGUGAGGAAUAGUGGUCAAUGGGCGAGAGCCUGAACCAGCCAAGUCGCGUGAAGGAUGACUGUCUUAUGGAUUGUAAACUUCUUUUAUACGGGAAUAACAAGAGUCACGUGUGGCUCCCUGCAUGUACCGUAUGAAUAAGCAUCGGCUAACUCCGUG